AGAAGAAAAGAAAAAAAAAAGGAACGAUAAAAAAUGAACAGGCAACGAAAGUGUUUGGGGGAAACCCCUCACUCUCCGUUCCUCGAAUUUGAGUCGCUCCGUUUUUUUUUU
rnacentral:ribozyme from 1 species